rnacentral:rRNA from 1 species
UACGUAGGGGGCAAGCGUUGUCCGGAAUUAUUGGGCGUAAAGAGCUCGUAGGCGGUGUGUCGCGUCGGCCGUGAAAACCUGCAGCUUAACUGUGGGCGUGCGGUCGAUACGGGCAUCACUGGAGUUCGGCAGGGGAGACUGGAAUUCCUGGUGUAGCGGUGAAAUGCGCAGAUAUCAGGAGGAACACCGGUGGCGAAGGCGGGUCUCUGGGCCGAUACUGACGCUGAGGAGCGAAAGCGUGGGGAGCGAACAGG